CUAUGAAGAAUCACAAAGGUACUGGGCUACUCCGCCGCGGUACCCCCGAAGAAAUCUAAAAUAGUCCGGAUAUAAACACUUAUUAUAGGUGCACCCUAGUGAUUCAGGACAGGCUAAAAACACGGUUUGGAAAAUGGAUUCACGUGUACUCGCUUAUUAUAUACAUUUUGUAAAUUUUGAACACAAAAAAAGUUACGGACCACAGCUCUGAUUGGUUGUUUCUUAACAGGAGCGAUGGAUUUCUGCAAAUGGCAAUAGGACCACUGGGAGGAGCCAGAGGAGCUUGAUUUUUUCACAGAUUAUCUGUCUCAUAUUCUACUGUCAGGACAUAAUGACAGGUUUAACAAAUAUGUAAAAAAAAAAAAAAAAAAAAAGUUACCUACUGCAGCUUUAAGUAUAAACUCCAAAUCAAAGUCUGAAUUGUGAGAUGAAGAGUCGUAAUUGUCUUUAUUUUUUUUAUUCCAUGGCUGAAACAGGCUUUCAUGUUUUGUAGAUCUGAGUUCUAUUGUGCUUGGUUUGCAGGUAGGUCUCUUGACAUCUGGGCUUUCUCUCACAGUUUGACCAUUUUUCUGCUGUGUCGAGUGGUUGGAAGAAUUUGUAAAGGGAAUGUCAGCCUGUGUACUUCUAUUGUUGCGGACCUGCCUUGCCCUGAAGCAAGAAACAAGGGAAUGGUGAGUUAUGGUCACCAUUAUCAGCAGUUUAUGUUUUCAGGGCAAUUUUGACAUGUUAAGCUUUUAUCUUUGAAAUAAUUUGAAUAUUAUGUUCGACUUUCUUCUUUUGUCAGGCAAUGAUUGGUGUUGCUUUCUCGUCGGGUUCACAUUGGGUCCAUUAAUGGGAGCAUACUUUGCUCUGAGAUUCAAAGACACUGAGGUGUUUUAUCAGGGCCCUGUCAUGCUGGCUGUCCUUUUUUCUUUAGCAGACCUGCUUUUUAUUUUCUUCAUGCUGCCAGAAACUUUACAAAAGAUCAGAAAAACUUUACAAAAAGUCACAUUGUGACUUUAAAUAUAAUCACUUCCUUAAUAGACUUCAGUUUAGUCUGGAGAUCUUCUUCACCCUGUUGCACUUUUCAGUUUCACUGCUGUGAAAAGAACAGAGAAUCUACCAUCUGAACAAAGUGAGUGCAUAAACUUUCAGCCAACCUCAAAGUGUUCACUUGGAUCAGGAUGAAUAACUGUCGCAAUAAAUUGAUUAUUGUUUGACUUUUUACCCGCAAUAGAAAUGCAAAAUCUUAAGGUGCUUGAAUUGGUUUACUUCACAUAUCUGUUUCUGUUCUCUGGGUUGGAAUUCACUUGAGUUUUCUGACACAUCAGCGCUUCCAAUUUUCCAGCAUGAGCAGGGGAAGAUGUUCUUUUUCAUUGGCAUUACCAUGGCAGUGAUCCAGGUGGAUAUGCCCGCAGGAUCAAACCAGGUCAUCAGAUCCAGACUGUUAGCCUGUCGGCUGAGGAGAGAGAAGGAGGAAUGAGAUUGAGAGUUUUAUGAUUCACUCUUGUGUCCUGAGAGGGUCAGACCCACUGAUCUAUAACAGAGUCUUUCCAUACAGAUCAGUGGCCAGACCUCUUUUUCCUUUCUGAAAGCAUUAAAGCCCACUGUAGAAAGUUCCUCUAAGUAAAGUGUUAACAAUGAAAGAAAAUAAUAAUAAAAAUAACUUGUGCUCAUGAAAAUGGUUUAUUUCACUGUUAAAAGACAACAGACUGUAAAUAGUAAAACAAUAUUUUAUGAAUGUAUUUUUAGAACACUUCUUCAACAGAUACAAAUGUCUGUGCGCUUCUGUUUCAUAAGAAUGAGAUUAUAUAUUUGGUUAAUAUUGCUGCAUAAACACACACAUAUAUAUUAUAUGUAUAUAAGUACAUAUAUUAUAUGUACUGAAUGUAUCUUUUCAAUCAUAUUUCUAAAAC